AUCUUCGCCGGCAAAACUCUCCAACACAUCUCUUUGCCCUUGAAACCCAUUAAAUUCCACCUAUCCGCUUCCUUUACACCCUUUUCUCUGCGAAGAAAAGCCAAUUCCUCGCGUAUUGUUACCUUUGUUCAAGAAGAAGACAACACCUUGGUUCUUCAAACAGAUGAAAAAUUGAGUUGGGGAGACGAAACUGAGGAAACGGAAGCAGCCGCCGACACCGGUGUCUCCGAUUGGGAAGGGGGCGCGGUUGGAGAUGCUGCCACGGAAGGGACGGAAGAGUUUUCUGAACCACCAGAAGAAGCUAAGAUUUUCGUCGGUAAUUUGCCGUAUGAUGUGGAUAGCGAGCAAUUGGCUCAGCUUUUUCAACAA
rnacentral:lncRNA from 1 species